UUCAUAUUAAUCCCGGCUUAUUUAUCUUAGCAGUUGACACGUCAUUGAGUGUUUGUUGAAGAUUUUUGCGAUUUCCUCACCAAAAACCCAUUAAAAUGUUCUCAAGGUCCCCAAAUCGUGCAAAUUUGAAGAUUUAAAAAAAAGGUAAAAAUCAAAUGUUUUAACGAAAAACCCUCCCAGAUUAUUGUGGAUUUAUUAAUUUCAUGCUAUAAAGUCUCCGAAGUAUGAUCGUAAUCAAUUUAGAUGGCUUCGUUACGUUUAAUCGCAAUUAAAUUGCCUAAAUAGAAUCGGAUUUCAUCAAUAAAACUUCCCUUUAUACAUAAUUAGUUGACAGUGUUCACAUCAUUGAAUACGAUUUUUGCGAUGUUCUCACCAAAAACCCAUUAAAAUGUCAUCAAGGUAGUUCUAAUUAACCAUUUAAUGUUCAUUUCAAUCUUAUAACAUGUUUUAGGGCCCUA